rnacentral:rRNA from 1 species
UACGUAGGGUGCAAGCGUUGUCCGGAAUUAUUGGGCGUAAAGAGCUCGUAGGCGGUCUGUCGCGUCUGCUGUGAAAACUCAGGGCUUAACCCUGAGCUUGCAGUGGGUACGGGCAGACUAGAGUGCGGUAGGGGAGACUGGAAUUCCUGGUGUAGCGGUGAAAUGCGCAGAUAUCAGGAGGAACACCGGUGGCGAAGGCGGGUCUCUGGGCCAUAACUGACGCUGAGGAGCGAAAGCGUGGGGAGCGAACAGG